GACGAACGCUGGCGGCGUGCUUAACACAUGCAAGUCGAACGGAAAGGCCCUGCUUUUGUGGGGUGCUCGAGUGGCGAACGGGUGAGUAACACGUGAGUAACCUGCCCUUGACUUUGGGAUAACUUCAGGAAACUGGGGCUAAUACCGGAUAGGAGCUCCUGCUGCAUGGUGGGGGUUGGAAAGUUUCGGCGGUUGGGGAUGGACUCGCGGCUUAUCAGCUUGUUGGUGGGGUAGUGGCUUACCAAGGCUUUGACGGGUAGCCGGCCUGAGAGGGUGACCGGGCACAUUGGGACUGAGAGACGGACCAGACGCCUACGGGAGGCAGCAGUGGGGAAUAUGGCACAAUGGGCGGGAGCCUGAUGCAGCAACGCCGCGUGCGGGAUGACGGCCUUCGGGUUGUAAACCGCUUUCGCCUGUGACGAAGCGUGAGUGACGGUAAUGGGUAAAGAAGCACCGGCUAACUACGUG
rnacentral:rRNA from 1 species